UUGGGCAGAGUACAGUUAGGGUUUGAAUAUCAAUUUCGAAACAAGACACUAUUUUGCUGGAUUUAGACUUUCACAUCAUCAACAAUAAAGAAGAGAGGUGAAGGAAGUGGAUGCUGGAAUAAACAAGACAUUGGGCUACCCCAAUUUCCUUAUACCGGAGCAUUUGAUGAGGUCCCAGAUGAGUUUUUUGAUGAGCUUUUUAGUCAACAAUCACAGGUGACUCAAGUCAAUGUACAAGUGGGGAAUGAAAAUGUAGGAACUGUGGAGGUCCCUGUGCAUUCUCAAAUUGCUGAGAAUGUUGUUCAUGAAGAGGAUAGAGAAAAGGAGAGUAGUGAAGAAGAGGGUACGUAGUGAAGAAGAGGACAGUGAAGAAGACACUUAUGUUGAGGGUA